AUUCAAGUAUCACUAGAGGAGGGAACUCGAAUGUAAGUUGUGGAACUAUUACUAAGGUUUUGUAACCUGCCCUUAAAUUCGGCUUCGGUACCAUGA